rnacentral:lncRNA from 1 species
GAAGUGGAGUAGAGUCGUGGCCAUUACUGUGGCCUGCCAGGGAGUCCAGACCUGUCGACCGAAGCUCGAUUGAAGCAUCUGGCGGAGAGAGGUAGCUAUCCAUCUGAGAGGAGCUCGGAUGUUGCUGGCGAGCCUUCUACCGUUGGGUGUUGUUGGGCGUUAAUACUACAGGCGAGGGCCAUUCAUCGUAGGAGCUCAGUCAAAGGUUUUCCAUAGACGAAGUUCGAUUUCACGCAGAAUUCGGCAACGAGUCAACCGACAGCGGAUGUCGGAUGGUGCUGG